UACGGAGGGAGCUAGCGUUGUUCGGAAUUACUGGGCGUAAAGCGCGCGUAGGCGGCUUUGUAAGUUAGAGGUGAAAGCCCGGGGCUCAACCCCGGAACUGCCUUUAAGACUGCAUCGCUUGAAUCCGGGAGAGGUGAGUGGAAUUCCGAGUGUAGAGGUGAAAUUCGUAGAUAUUCGGAAGAACACCAGUGGCGAAGGCGGCUCACUGGACCGGUAUUGACGCUGAGGAGCGAAAGCCAGGGGAGCAAACGGG
rnacentral:rRNA from 1 species